CCCCUCUCAGGGUCACACCUGGAGAGUGUCCAGUACUCUAUCAGUCUUGACUAUGGGAGGAAGAGUCAAGCGGAGGCAUACCCAUUCCAUUCCUAGUUUGGGCAGUGGCUAGUGAGUAGACGGCAAUCUGCUACAAGU